rnacentral:rRNA from 1 species
GGUUAAGCGACUAAGCGUACACGGUGGAUGCCCUGGCAGUCAGAGGCGAUGAAGGACGUGCUAAUCUGCGAUAAGCGUCGGUGAGGUGAUAUGAACCGUUAUAACCGGCGAUUUCCGAAUGGGGAAACCCAGUGUGUUUCGACACACUAUCAUUAACUGAAUCCAUAGGUUAAUGAGGCGAACCGGGGGAACUGAAACAUCUAAGUACCCCGAGGAAAAGAAAUCAACCGAGAUUCCCCCAGUAGCGGCGAGCGAACGGGGAGGAGCCCAGAGCCUGAAUCAGUGUGUGUGUUAGUGGAAGCGUCUGGAAAGGCGCGCGAUACAGGGUGACAGCCCCGUACACAAAAAUGCACAUGCUGUGAGCUCGAUGAGUAGGGCGGGACACGUGGUAUCCUGUCUGAAUAUGGGGGGACCAUCCUCCAAGGCUAAAUACUCCUGACUGACCGAUAGUGAACCAGUACCGUGAGGGAAAGGCGAAAAGAACCCCGGCGAGGGGAGUGAAAAAGAACCUGAAACCGUGUACGUACAAGCAGUGGGAGCCUCUUAAUGGGGUGACUGCGUACCUUUUGUAUAAUGGGUCAGCGACUUAUAUUCUGUAGCAAGGUUAACCGAAUAGGGGAGCCGAAGGGAAACCGAGUCUUAACUGGGCGUUAAGUUGCAGGGUAUAGACCCGAAACCCGGUGAUCUAGCCAUGGGCAGGUUGAAGGUUGGGUAACACUAACUGGAGGACCGAACCGACUAAUGUUGAAAAAUUAGCGGAUGACUUGUGGCUGGGGGUGAAAGGCCAAUCAAACCGGGAGAUAGCUGGUUCUCCCCGAAAGCUAUUUAGGUAGCGCCUCGUGAAUUCAUCUCCGGGGGUAGAGCACUGUUUCGGCAAGGGGGUCAUCCCGACUUACCAACCCGAUGCAAACUGCGAAUACCGGAGAAUGUUAUCACGGGAGACACACGGCGGGUGCUAACGUCCGUCGUGAAGAGGGAAACAACCCAGACCGCCAGCUAAGGUCCCAAAGUCAUGGUUAAGUGGGAAACGAUGUGGGAAGGCCCAGACAGCCAGGAUGUUGGCUUAGAAGCAGCCAUCAUUUAAAGAAAGCGUAAUAGCUCACUGGUCGAGUCGGCCUGCGCGGAAGAUGUAACGGGGCUAAACCAUGCACCGAAGCUGCGGCAGCGACACUAUGUGUUGUUGGGUAGGGGAGCGUUCUGUAAGCCUGUGAAGGUGGCCUGUGAGGGUUGCUGGAGGUAUCAGAAGUGCGAAUGCUGACAUAAGUAACGAUAAAGCGGGUGAAAAGCCCGCUCGCCGGAAGACCAAGGGUUCCUGUCCAACGUUAAUCGGGGCAGGGUGAGUCGACCCCUAAGGCGAGGCCGAAAGGCGUAGUCGAUGGGAAACAGGUUAAUAUUCCUGUACUUGGUGUUACUGCGAAGGGGGGACGGAGAAGGCUAUGUUGGCCGGGCGACGGUUGUCCCGGUUUAAGCGUGUAGGCUGGUUUUCCAGGCAAAUCCGGAAAACCAAGGCUGAGGCGUGAUGACGAGGCACUACGGUGCUGAAGUGACAAAUGCCCUGCUUCCAGGAAAAGCCUCUAAGCAUCAGGUAACAUCAAAUCGUACCCCAAACCGACACAGGUGGUCAGGUAGAGAAUACCAAGGCGCUUGAGAGAACUCGGGUGAAGGAACUAGGCAAAAUGGUGCCGUAACUUCGGGAGAAGGCACGCUGAUAUGUAGGUGAAGCGACUUGCUCGUGGAGCUGAAAUCAGUCGAAGAUACCAGCUGGCUGCAACUGUUUAUUAAAAACACAGCACUGUGCAAACACGAAAGUGGACGUAUACGGUGUGACGCCUGCCCGGUGCCGGAAGGUUAAUUGAUGGGGUUAGCGGUAACGCGAAGCUCUUGAUCGAAGCCCCGGUAAACGGCGGCCGUAACUAUAACGGUCCUAAGGUAGCGAAAUUCCUUGUCGGGUAAGUUCCGACCUGCACGAAUGGCGUAAUGAUGGCCAGGCUGUCUCCACCCGAGACUCAGUGAAAUUGAACUCGCUGUGAAGAUGCAGUGUACCCGCGGCAAGACGGAAAGACCCCGUGAACCUUUACUAUAGCUUGACACUGAACAUUGAGCCUUGAUGUGUAGGAUAGGUGGGAGGCUUUGAAGUGUGGACGCCAGUCUGCAUGGAGCCGACCUUGAAAUACCACCCUUUAAUGUUUGAUGUUCUAACGUUGGCCCCUAAUCGGGGUUGCGGACAGUGUCUGGUGGGUAGUUUGACUGGGGCGGUCUCCUCCUAAAGAGUAACGGAGGAGCACGAAGGUUGGCUAAUCCUGGUCGGACAUCAGGAGGUUAGUGCAAUGGCAUAAGCCAGCUUGACUGCGAGCGUGACGGCGCGAGCAGGUGCGAAAGCAGGUCAUAGUGAUCCGGUGGUUCUGAAUGGAAGGGCCAUCGCUCAACGGAUAAAAGGUACUCCGGGGAUAACAGGCUGAUACCGCCCAAGAGUUCAUAUCGACGGCGGUGUUUGGCACCUCGAUGUCGGCUCAUCACAUCCUGGGGCUGAAGUAGGUCCCAAGGGUAUGGCUGUUCGCCAUUUAAAGUGGUACGCGAGCUGGGUUUAGAACGUCGUGAGACAGUUCGGUCCCUAUCUGCCGUGGGCGCUGGAGAACUGAGGGGGGCUGCUCCUAGUACGAGAGGACCGGAGUGGACGUAUCACUGGUGUUCGGGUUGUCAUGCCAAUGGCACUGCCCGGUAGCUAAAUGCGGAAGAGAUAAGUGCUGAAAGCAUCUAAGCACGAAACUUGCCCCGAGAUGAGUUCUCCCUGAGACUUAGAGUCUCCUGAAGGAACGUUGAAGACGACGACGUUGAUAGGCCGGGUGUGUAAGCGCAGCGAUGCGUUGAGCUAACCGGUACUAAUGAACCGUGAGGCUUAACCUUACAACGCCGAAGAUGUUUUG